rnacentral:rRNA from 1 species
AGAUUUGAUCCUGGCUCAGGAUGAACGCUGGCGGCGUGCCUAAUACAUGCAAGUCGGACGGCAUAGCAAUACUGUAGUGGCGAACGGGUGAGUAACACGUUGGUGACCUGCCCCAAAGAUGGGAUAUCACCUGGAAACGGGUGGCAAAACCGAAUAAGCUUGAGAGAGUUAGAGAAACUCAAGAAAAGAGCGAUCUACUUUGGGAGGGGCCUGCGGCCCAUCAGUUAGUUGGUGAGGGUAACGCCCACCAAGACGAAGACGGGUAGGGGACCUGAGAGGGUGGUCCCCCACAAUGGAACUGAACACGGUCCAUACACCUGCGGGUGGCAGCAGUAGGGAAUAUUGCUUAAUGGGCGAAAGCCUAAGCAGCAACGCCGCGUGGACGAAGGAGGCCUUCGGGUCGUAAAGUCCUUUUAUAGGGGAAAGGAAGGAUGGUACCCUAUGAAUAAGUCUCGGCUAACUACGUGCCAGCAGCCGCGGUAAACGUAGGAGACGAGCGUUAUCCGGAUUUACUGGGCGUAAAGCGCGUGUAGGAGGCAAUACAGUUGGAUGUAAAAUCUCCCGGCUUAACUGGGAGGCGUCGUUCAAGACUGUAUAGCUGGAUAGUGGAGAGGUAAUCGGAACUCCGGGAGUAGCGGUGAAAUGCGUAGAUAUCCGGAAGAAACCAGAGGCGAAAGCGGAUUACUGGCCACCAACUGACACUAAGACGCGAAAGCCAGGGUACAAACGGGAUUAGAGACCCCGGUAGUCCUGGCCGUAAACGAUGUAGACUCGUCGUUUGGGGGUAAAACCCCUGAGUGACUAAGCAAACGCGAUAAGUCUACCGCCUGGGGAGUACGGUCGAAGAUUAAAACUCAAAGGAAUUGACGGGGCCCGCACAAGCAGCG